CAGUGGUCUGCUGAUAAAUGUACCAACACCUCUCAUUUUGCUGCCUGGGAAAGACACCAUGGAUCCUGGAUAACCAUCUUCCUGAUCCGGAUUUAACAUCAAAACAAUAAAGAAGGGGUCCUACCACUGCACCCGGGGGGGCCCCCAGGACUGACAACAUUUAUUAAGGAUCCCCAGUAGUUUCUGCCAAGGCAGCAGCUACUCUUCAUGUUUUUUUUUAAAUAGAAUUUGGGAGUGCAUCCAACCGGCCUCACUACUGCACACCACCUGUAACCCCGCCAGCCCAGGACCUCCACAUCCAUCUUCUUCACCUGCGGGAUCAUCUGAGACCAGCCACCCGGACAACUGAUAAAACUGGUCUUGACCUGACUGCAGUUCGGAGUCGUAACCGACAGUGGGCAAAUGCUCCCCUUCGAUAGCCACUAGCAUGCUGGAGAAGUGUGCUCUUCACGGAUUAAUCCAGGUUUCAACUGUACCUGGCAGAUAGCGAGUGUGUAUGGCAUUGUGUGGGCGAGUGGUUUGCUGAUGUCAACGUUGUGAACAGUGUUCACCAUGGUGAAGGUGGGGUUGUGGUAUGGGCAUGCAUAAACUACGGACAAUGUACACAAUUUCAUUUUUGUCAAUAUGAAUAAACAGAUACCGUGACGAGAUCCUGAUGCCCAUUGUCGUUCCAUUCAUCUGCCAGCAUCACCUCAUAUUUC